GGGUCAGUAGGUUGGUCGUGCCACCGGUACGUACUGGUCUCACUGAUUCCUCCUUCCCGAAGAACCGUAAUGCCAUUAAUUUGGUGUUGCGGGGAAACAGGACUGUUACUUUGAAAAAAUUAGAGUGUUUAAAGCAAGCUAACGCUUGAAUACAUUAGCAUGGAAUAAUGAAAUAGGACGAUCAAUCCUAUUUUGUUGGUUUCUAGGAUUGACGUA
rnacentral:rRNA from 1 species